AGACCAAAGGAUUUUCCCGCGAAGGAGAAGCGCGCGUUUUUCCCUGGCCCGGGAUUUGGUUAGAAAGCCGGCUGCCGGUCUCUGUGUAGGUAAUUGUCACGCGGCCUUGCGGAUUCCAAGAGGAGUCAACCAGGUUCCUGGUGAGCGUGCAGCCAUGCCCGCGGAGAGGCCCGCGAGCAGCGGCCCUGCAGAAAUGGUUGGACAACCGGAGACUGCCGUGAUUACCCCAGCCAUGCUAGAGGAGGAAGAACAGCUUGAGGCUGCAGGACUUGAAAGAGAGCGGAAGAUGCUAGAAAAGGCUCGCCUAUCUUGGGACCGAGAAUCCACAGAAAUUCAGUAUCGAAGACUUCAACAUUUGCUUGAAAAGAGCAAUAUCUACUCCAAAUUUUUAUUGACUAAAAUGGAGCAGCAGCAAUUAGAGGAACAGAAGAAGAAAGAGAGAUUGGAGAGAAAAAAGGAAUCUCUAAAAGUAGCAAAGGGUAAAACUUCAUUUGAUGCAAGUGAAGAGAAUCUAGUCAUGAAAAAGAAAAGAGGAAGAGAAGAUGAAUCAUACAAUAUUUCAGAGGUCAUGUCAAAAGAGGAAAUUUUAUCUGUGGCUAAAAAAAAUAAAAAGGAAAAUGAGGAUGGAAGUUCCUCCUCUACUAAUAUCUGUGUAGAAGAUCUUCAGAAAAAUAAAGACUCAAAUACCACAAUUAAAGAUAGAUUGGCUCAAACUGUUAGGCAGAAUACUAAGUUCUUUUUUGACCCAGUUAGGAAAUGUAAUGGACAGCCAGUACCCUUUCAACAACCAAAGCUUUUCACAGGAGGAGUGAUGCGGUGGUACCAAGUAGAAGGCAUGGAAUGGCUGAGGAUGCUCUGGGAAAAUGGAAUUAAUGGCAUUUUAGCAGAUGAAAUGGGGUUAGGCAAGACUGUUCAGUGCAUUGCCACAAUUGCAUUGAUGAUUCAGAGAGGAGUACCUGGACCUUUUCUUGUCUGUGGUCCUUUGUCUACACUUCCUAACUGGAUUGCUGAGUUCAGAAGAUUUACACCAGAUAUUCCUACUAUGUUAUAUCAUGGAAGCCAGCAGGAACGUCGAAAAUUGGUAAAGAGCAUUAACAAACAGACCGGGACACUGCAGAUUCAUCCUGUGGUGAUCACAUCAUUUGAAAUAGCCAUGAGAGACCGAAAUGCAUUACAGCAUUGCUUUUGGAAGUACUUAAUUGUAGAUGAAGGACACAGGAUUAAGAAUAUGAAGUGCCGUCUAAUCAGGGAGUUAAAGCGGUUCAAUGCUGAUAACAAACUUCUUUUGACUGGUACUCCUUUGCAAAACAAUUUAUCAGAACUUUGGUCAUUGCUAAACUUUUUGUUGCCAGAUGUAUUUGAUGACUUGAAAAGCUUUGAAUCUUGGUUUGACAUUACUAGUCUUUCUGAAACUGCUGAAGAUAUUAUAGCUAAAGAAAGAGAACAGAAUGUAUUACAUAUGCUGCACCAGAUUCUAACACCUUUCUUACUGAGAAGACUAAAAUCUGAUGUUGCUCUUGAAGUUCCUCCUAAACGAGAAGUAGUUGUUUAUGCACCACUUUCAAAGAAACAGGAGGUUUUCUAUACAGCCAUUGUGAAUCGUACAAUUGCCAACAUGUUUGGAUCAAGUGAGAAGGAAACAGUUGAGCUAAGUCCUAAUGGACGACCAAAACGCCGAACUAGAAAAUCAAUAAAUUACAGCAAAAUAGAUGAUUUUCCUAAUGAGUUGGAAAAAUUGAUCAGUCAAAUACAGCCAGAAGUAGACAGAGAAAGGCCUGUUGUGGAAGUGAAUAUCCCUAUAGAAUCUGAAAUAAAUUUGAAGCUACAGAACAUAAUGAUGCUACUUCGUAAGUGCUGUAAUCAUGCAUAUCUGAUUGAAUACCCUAUAGACCCUGUUACACAAGAGUUUAAGAUUGAUGAAGAAUUGGUUAUAAAUUCUGGAAAAUUCUUAAUUUUGGAUCGAAUGCUGCCAGAACUAAAAAACAGAGGUCACAAGGUGUUGCUUUUUUCACAAAUGACACGGAUGUUGGACAUUUUGAUGGAUUAUUGCCAGCUUAGAAAUUUCAACUUCAGUAGACUUGAUGGGUCCAUGUCUUAUUCAGAGAGAGAAAAAAAUAUGCAUGACUUCAACACAGAUCCAGAUGUGUUUAUCUUCUUAGUGAGUACACGAGCUGGUGGCCUGGGUAUUAAUUUGACUGCAGCAGAUACAGUUAUUAUUUAUGAUAGUGAUUGGAAUCCUCAGUCUGAUCUUCAAGCCCAGGAUAGAUGCCAUAGAAUUGGUCAGACAAAGCCAGUUGUUGUUUAUCGGCUUGUUACAGCAAAUACCAUUGAUCAGAAAAUUGUGGAAAGAGCAGCUGCUAAAAGAAAACUGGAAAAAUUGAUCAUCCACAAAAAUCAUUUCAAAGGUGGUCAAUCUGGAUUAAAUCAAUCUAAGAAUUUCUUAGAUCCAAAAGAAUUAAUGGAAUUACUAAAAUCUAGAGAUUAUGAAAGAGAAAUAAAAGGAUCAAGGGAAAAAAUUAUCAGUGAUAAAGAUCUAGAGUUAUUGUUAGAUCGAAGUGAUCUUAUUGAUCAAAUGAAAGCCUCAGGACCAAUUAAGGAGAAGAUGGGGAUAUUCAAGAUACUAGAAAAUUCUGAAGAUUCCAAUCCUGAAUGUUUGUUUUAAAUUGGAACUGAAGAAUAGCUUAAGUUACUGUUUACAUCUGGUGGUUUGCUUAUAUUGGUUUUUUGUGGGUUUUUUUGGUACCGGGGAUCAAACUUGGGUCCUUUCGCUUGCACAGCAGGCAGCGAAACCACUGAGCCAAAUCCCCUGCCCUAAUUUCUUUUUUUCUUUUUUCCUUUUUUUUUUUUUGGUACCAGGGAUCAAACUCGGGACCUUGCGCUUGCGCAGCAGGCGCCAGAACCAAGUGAGCUAAAUCCCCAGCCUACUUAUAUUGGUUUUGAAGUCCAGAUUGUCCACUUGACUUUUUAAACUAAAUCAGUUUACAUAAUUGAAUAUUGCCUGAAGAAUAUCUGCCUUUGGUGGCUCAGGAACUUGUAGCCCAGCUACAGAAUAACUCCAGUUUGGCGUCCGGUCACAACUGAGACUUCAGUGAUCCAGUGAUGCUGUGAUUUUCCAGGACAAGAAACAUCCUGGGAGCUGAAAACAUCCUGGGAGAACAAACAUCUGCUCAGUUCCUCAUUGUUCUUAGAUUUCCACUGCCCCCCAUCCUUUUGUUACACCUUGUUAAUCCCAAUGUGAACUAUUGAACUCUAUAUUUCAUUUGUUGCAUUUAUUUCUCCCGACGUACUGAAUAAAAGGUGUGGUAAGCCGGGGGCUUUUGUCUUUGCUGCCCUGAGCAGCACUGAUCAGACCCAAAGCUCAGCUUCU